rnacentral:rRNA from 1 species
AGCACCAAUAGCGUUUACUAAAUUGGUUGCAGUUAAAAAGCUCGUAGGGAGAUUUCUAGUGGGAGUGAUCGGUCCAACACAUUGUGUUGGAAGUGGAUCCUCUCUGGCCAUCCUUGGGUGCAUCUUGUCUGGUAUUCAGUUGUCAGUCAUGAGAUGCCAAUAGGUUACUGUGAAAACAUUAGAGUGUUCAAACCAGGAUUAUACCAUUGAAUAUGUUAGCAUGGAAUAAUUAGAUAGAGCCCUGGUGCUAUUUUGUUGGUUUGCGUAUCGAGGUAAUGAUUAAAAGGGACAGUUGGGGGUAUUUGUAUUCAAUAUUCAGCGGUGAAAUACUUAGACCUACGGGAGACAAACUACUGCGAAAGCAUUUACCGAGGAUGUUUUCA